rnacentral:rRNA from 1 species
AUUGAACGCUGGCGGAAUGCUUUACACAUGCAAGUCGAACGGCAGCACGGACUUCGGUCUGGUGGCGAGUGGCGAACGGGUGAGUAAUGUAUCGGAACGUGCCCAGUCGUGGGGGAUAACGUAGUGAAAAUUACGCUAAUACCGCAUACGAUCUAUGGAUGAAAGCGGGGGAUCGCAAGACCUCGCGCGAUUGGAGCGGCCGAUAUCAGAUUAGGUAGUUGGUGGGGUAAAGGCCCACCAAGCCAACGAUCUGUAGCUGGUCUGAGAGGACGACCAGCCACACUGGAACGGAGACACGGUCCAGACUCCUACGGGAGGCAGCAGUGGGGAAUUUUGGACAAUGGGCGAAAGCCUGAUCCAGCCAUUCCGCGUGCAGGAUGAAGGCCCUCGGGUUGUAAACUGCUUUUGUACAGAACGAAAAGGUUUCUACUAAUACUAGGAGCUCAUGACGGUACUGUAAGAAUAAGCACCGGCUAACUACGUGCCAGCCGCAGUAACAC